GACGAACGCUGGCGGCGUGCUUAACACAUGCAAGUCGAGCGGUAAGGCCCUUCGGGGUACACGAGCGGCGAACGGGUGAGUAACACGUGGGUGACCUGCCUUUAGCUCUGGGAUAAGCCUGGGAAACUGGGUCUAAUACCGGAUAUGACUCCAUGACGCAUGUUGUGGGGUGGAAAGCCUUGUGCGGCUGAGGAUGGGCCCGCGGCCUAUCAGCUUGUUGGUGGGGUGAUGGCCCACCAAGGCGACGACGGGUAGCCGGCCUGAGAGGGCGACCGGCCACACUGGGGACUGAGAUACGGCCCAGACUCCUACGGGAGGCAGCAGUGGGAAUCUUGCGACAAUGGGCGAAAGCCUGACGCAGCGACGCCGCGUGA
rnacentral:rRNA from 1 species